AGGUCUGUAUGCAAACCGCCAAAAGCAACUACAAAUCCUAUAUAGCCUAAAAUGUCAUAUUCCGAACAUUGUAUUAAAUUUUAGGUUUUAGAGUGAAGUCAGGGUCUGUGUGCAGAGCCGGUUUGCAGAAGGAUACUGCGGGUGGGUUCAUCCACCAUUUGCAAAAUUCGAGGUGUUUGACGUGAGUGUGGGCCGAGGGUUUCGUCCUCCAUUGCUCUCCGUGUGAUUUUACUUGUUGCGAUAUGGCAGCUGCUGUUUCCUGAGAAAGUUGGCCGUUUGCAGCUGUUGCAGGUGCUGUUUACAGAGUAGCACAGAUGAAAAGAGGCGUGGUAGGGUUUGCAGGUCUGCACGCUUGACAGGUACUUGAAAAGCCCAUACAAACAAAAAAAAAAGGGCACAGAGGAGUGAUUUUUUUUUACAUUUUUGAAAGCUGAGAGAAAAUUUUACGUUGAGAUUUGCCUACAUGUUGUCUAAGGCUUAAUGGAUAGAGGUGGUAGAAUUAUGUUUUUUUUAUAUUGGUAAUUGGGGGGCGGGGUUCAGAAGUGGAAUGAUUAUUUAGGCUGCAGCUAUUCUGGAAGUGGAACGAUUAUUUAGGCUGCAGCUAUUCUGGUUUCAAAACCGCAGUACGGUUAAUGCACGUUAUACACCAUUGGUUUUGGGAGACAAUGGCGAUUUUUUUAAUUGUCAAUAACAUGGUGUACGAAUUGACGGUUUUGAAGCCAGAAUAACUCUGUCCGAUUAUUUAAGCAUCAGGAUAAUUAAGGUUUUUACUUUGCA